AUGAACCUGGUGAGCCAGAGCCGGGAGGCCGGCGCCGGCCAGCUGCUCUUGGCCAACUUCAACCAGGACAGCACUGAAAAGGGCAUCAGGAGCAGCUGGUCUUGGCCGUCGCACUGUUGUCUGGUCCCUAGCUGUUGGUAGUUAAGUCCCGUUAUAAAUUUUUCUCCCUUUCUUCCGUGGAUAAGCUGGAACAGAUCUAUGAAUGCAAGGCUGAUAGUAUGCCUGGAGGAGUCCCUGUACAUCCACAACAUUCGGGACAUGAAGGUGCUGCAUACGAUCAGGGAGACGCCUCCAAACCCUGCAGGCCUGUGUGCGCUGUCAGUCAACAGCGACAACGGCUACUUGGCGUACCCAGGGAGCGCGACCAUGGGAGAGGUGCAGGUCUUCGAUACCAUUAAUUUGAGAGCUGCAAACAUGAUUCUGGCUCACGACAGUCCUUUAGCAGCAUUGGCCUUUGACGCAAGUGGAACUAAACUUGCCAUGGCUUCGGAGAAGGGGACCGUGAUUAGGGUAUUUUCCAUUCCAGAAGGACAAAAACUCUUUGAGUUUCGGAGAUGAGUGAAGAGGUGCAUGAGCAUCUGCUCCCUGGCCUUCAGCAUGGACAGCAUCCAGCCUCCAGCAACACUGAGACCGUGCACAUCUUCAAACUCGACACUGUGAAAGAAAAACCCCCAGAGGAGCCCACCACCUGGACCGCGUACUUCGGGAAAGUGCUCAUGGCCUCCACCAGCUACCUGCCCUCCCAAGUGACAGAAAUGUUCAACCAGGGCAGAGCCUUCGCCACAGUCCGCCUGCUGUUCUGCGGCCACAAAAACAUCUGCUCGCUAGCCACAAUUCAGAAGAUCCCGCGGUUGUUGGUGGGUGCCGCCGACGGGUACCUGUACAUGUACAACCUGGACCCCCAGGAGGGCGGCGAGUGCGCCCUGAUGAAGCAGCACCGGCUGGACGGCAGUCUGGAAACGACCAGUGAGAUCUUGGACUCUGCCUCUCACGACUGCCGCUUAGUCACUUAGACAUACGGCGCAGCUGCAGCAAAAGCCUACACAGACAACCUGGGUGCUGUGGGUGGCGCCUGCCUGGAGGACGAGGCCAGUGCCCUGCGCCUAGAUGAGGACAGCGAGCACCCACCCAUGAUUCUUUGGACUGACUGAACUUGACCUGUGACCUCUGACCCGGGGAGCAGAGAACACUGGCUUCACAGAGGACUUUGUGCAUUGCUGCUAUGAACUUUGACCUGAGUCGGGGGAGAGGAUGGCAGAGACUUUAUUUAAAAAAAAAAAAAAGAUUGUAGUGGUAGUCUAACUCCAUAACGCUGAGGAAAUACAUCGUUUUCACUUCAGUGGCUUUUAAAUCCUGCUUAUGAAUUUUAGCUUUUGGUUUGUUUUCUCUUUUUGCCAAAAUUAACUGUUUGGUGAAGCCCGCAAAACCUCCUUGCUUUGCAUGCAUGCAUGUGCCAAGCCAGCAUAGGGGAGCUAGAAGCCACUUUCCAGCCACCUGCCGUUGGGUUUUUUAAUAUCUGUACAUAAUGCCGAGUGCGUAAGGAAGCCAUGGUGUCGCGCACAGUGGGUCUGAUUGUCGAGGCCAGUUCUGCAGUGACAGGCCCAGGGGCUGCCCACCAGGUGUGCUGGGCAGACUUCAGCUGGGACAGGAGUCCUCUCUCCCUAGGGCUCCACCUGGACCAUUUUCCCUCCGUUUUAUUUUGUUAAUUAAAUUCUUUCCAAAUUGGA